CUGCAAUUGUGAUGCCACGGAAGCCCCCAUCAGAAUUCACCACUUGCACGGCCAGAGGGGGGCCUUCAUCAGGGAGCUGACCUGGGAAAAAGCCACCGCUGUGCGAUGAGAGGGGGAGCCAAGUGCUCUGCUGCUUUACUGGGUUGCUGGGUGUGCACCUGAUGUGCGGGUCCUUUGGUAAAGCCGCAUCUCAGCUGAAACUCAAGGGGAAGCAGGAGGCAAAGAGCCGAACCCAGGGCAGUAGUGCGGAAGGACCCCUUUGCAUUCCACCUUGCCAGCACUUGGUUCCCGUGUCCUGGGAGGAACCUCYGGAGUCCGACCACAGGGCAGCUGCGCGGUGCGGGUGCAGGGACCCCUGA
rnacentral:lncRNA from 1 species